UUAAAAACGACGUUUAGUGAAGUGUCUAAGCGUAUUUGUUUUACUUAAGACUUAAUCUGCUUUUACAUAUAUAGAAGUUUUGCUAUCUUUGCAUUUAAUCAACAUGUAUAUGAUAAAAAUACGAAUUGGACCAGAAGUGCAGUUUCUCUAGAGGCCAGUUUAACCAACCUGUAGUUAUACAAAAGUAAGUCUCGUGCGGCGCAACGUGGUGUAUGCGGUGAUGGCGCCGAGGCAACACUAUAUGCCAUUCUUGAAGCCAAACCACCCAGGUGGGAAGGCCGAAGUGAGCCACCAGCAUAGUCGUCUUUAGCAUACAAAUAACUCAAUUAUCUUGAAAAUAUGAAAAUUUUAAAUAUACUUGUACUAGGUUAAGGAAUUUUAUAUAACAUUUUAAACU